rnacentral:rRNA from 1 species
UACGUAGGGUGCAAGCGUUGUUCGGAAUUACUGGGCGUAAAGGGCGCGUAGGCGGGCCUGUGUGUCGAUUGUGAAAGCCCCGAGCUCAACUUGGGAAUUGCAGUCGAAACUGCAGGUCUUGAAUGCCUGAGGGGAUGGCGGAAUUCCCGGUGUAGAAGUGAAAUUCGUAGAUAUCGGGAAGAACACCUGAGGCGAAGGCGGCUAUCUGGCAGUGCAUUGACGCUGAGGCGCGAAAGCGUGGGGAGCAAACAGG